rnacentral:rRNA from 1 species
AUUGAACGCUGGCGGCAGGCCUAACACAUGCAAGUCGAACGGUUGAAGGGAGCCUUCCUUUUCUUUCAGCGGCGCACGCGUGAGUAAUGCCUAUAAAUCUGCCUGCUAGUGGCGGAUAAUGUCCGGUAACGGGCAUUACUACUGCCUCAGUACUUAGGGAGAAAGAGGGUAAUCAUCUGACAUCACGCUCUCCGACGAUCCUAGGUCGGAUUAGCUAGUUGGUGGGGUAAAGGCCUACCAAGGCGACGAUCCGUAACUGGUCUGAGAGGAUGAUCAGUCACACUGGAACUGAGACACGGUCCAGACUCCUACGGGAGGCAGCAGUGGGGAAUAUUGGACAAUGGGCGAAAGCCUGAUCCAGCCAUGCCGCGUGUGUGAAGAAGGUCUUCGGAUUGUAAAGCACUUUAAGUUGGGAGGAAGGGCAGUAAGUUAAUACCUUGCUGUUUUGACGUUACCAACAGAAUAAGCACCGGCUAACUUCGUG